rnacentral:rRNA from 1 species
UACGAGGGGGGCGAGCGUUGUUCGGAAUUACUGGGCGUAAAGAGUGUGUAGGCGGUGCUCUAAGUUCGGUGUGAAAUCUCCCGGCUUAACUGGGAGGGUGCGCCGGAAACUGGAGUGCUCGAGCGUGGGAGAGGAAAGCGGAAUUCCUGGUGUAGCGGUGAAAUGCGUAGAUAUCAGGAGGAACACCUGCGGUGUAGACGGCUUUCUGGACCAUUGCUGACGCUGAGACACGAAAGCGUGGGUAGCAAACAGG